ensembl:ncRNA R07B1.16 ncRNA
UUAGCUCACUGGCUCAUCUAACUCGUCAAAUGUUGUACAAAGUGACCUUCUAAUCGGCGGCGGCCUUUUUACCCGCGAGUUGAAAGGCAAGAAGUCAGUUGUGCGAAGGUAUAUGAUCAACUUGAAUAA